rnacentral:rRNA from 1 species
AGUGAGGAAUAUUGCACAAUGGGCGAAAGCCUGAUGCAGCAACGCCGCGUGGAGGAUGACGCAUUUCGGUGUGUAAACUCCUUUUAUCAGAGAAGAAAAUGACGGUAUCUGAUGAAUAAGCUCCGGCUAACUCCGUGCCAGCAGCCGCGGUAAUACGGAGGGAGCAAGCGUUAUUCGGAAUCACUGGGCGUAAAGGACGCGUAGGCGGGUUAUUAAGUCAGAUGUGAAAUCCUAUGGCUCAACCAUAGAACUGCAUUUGAAACUGGUAGCCUAGAGUAUGGAAGGGGAAGAUGGAAUUAGUGGUGUAGGGGUAAAAUCCGUAGAUAUCACUAGGAAUACCGAAAGCGAAGGCGAUCUUCUGGGACAUUACUGACGCUGAGGCGUGAAAGCGUGGGGAGCAAACAGGAUUAGAUACCCUGGUAGUCCACGCCCUAAACGAUGAAUGCUAGUCGUCGGAGAGCUCGUCUCUUCGGUGAUGCAGUUAACACAUUAAGCAUUCCGCCUGGGGAGUACGGUCGCAAGAUUAAAACUCAAAGGAAUAGACGGGGACCCGCACAAGUGGUGGAGCAUGUGGUUUAAUUCGAAGAUACGCGAAGAACCUUACCUGGCCUUGACAUUGAUUGAAUCUGGUAGAGAUACCGGAGUGCCUUUCGGGGAACAUGAAAACAGGUGCUGCACGGCUGUCGUCAGCUCGUGUCGUGAGAUGUUGGGUUAAGUCCCGCAACGAGCGCAACCCUCGUCGUUAGUUGCUAACAGUUCGGCUGAGCACUCUAGCGAGACUGCCUUCGUAAGGAGGAGGAAGGUGAGGACGACGUCAAGUCAUCAUGGCCCUUACGGCCAGGGCUACACACGUGCUACAAUGGGGCGUACAGAGAGUUGCGAUACCGCGAGGUGGAGCUAAUCUCAUAAAGCGUCUCUCAGUUCGGAUUGGAGUCUGCAACUCGACUCCAUGAAGCUGGAAUCACUAGUAAUCGUAGAUCAGCAAUGCUACGGUGAAUACGU